rnacentral:rRNA from 1 species
ACGCUGGCGGCAGGCUUAACACAUGCAAGUCGAACGGUAACAGGGAUUAGCUUGCUAAUUUGCUGACGAGUGGCGGACGGGUGAGUAAUGCUUGGGAAUCUGGCUUAUGGAGGGGGAUAACUACGGGAAACUGUAGCUAAUACCGCGUAAUAUCGGAAGAUUAAAGGGUGGGACUUUCGAGCCACCUGCCAUAAGAUGAGCCCAAGUGGGAUUAGGUAGUUGGUUAGGUAAAGGCUGACCAAGCCGACGAUUUCUAGCUGGUCUGAGAGGAUGACCAGCCACACUGGAACUGAGACACGGUCCAGACUCCUACGGGAGGCAGCAGUGGGGAAUAUUGCACAAUGGGGGGAACCCUGAUGCAGCCAUGCCGCGUGAAUGAAGAAGGCCUUCGGGUUGUAAAGUUCUUUCGGUGACGAGGAAGGUUGAUAGGUUAAUAGCCUAUCAAAUUGACGUUAAUCACAGAAGAAGCACCGGCUAACUCCGUGCCAGCAGCCGCGGUAAUACGGGGGGUGCGAGCGUUAAUCGGAAUAACUGGGCGUAAAGGGCACGCAGGCGGUGACUUAAGUGAGAUGUGAAAGCCCCGAGCUUAACUUGGGAAUUGCAUUUCAUACUGGGUCGCUAGAGUACUUUAGGGAGGGGUAGAAUUCCACGUGUAGCGGUGAAAUGCGUAGAGAUGUGGAGGAAUACCGAAGGCGAAGGCAGCCCCUUGGGAAUGUACUGACGCUCAUGUGCGAAAGCGUGGGGAGCAAACAGGAUUAGAUACCCUGGUAGUCCACGCUGUAAACGAUGUCGAUUUGGGGAUUGGGCUUUGAGCUUGGUGCCCGUAGCUAACGUGAUAAAUCGACCGCCUGGGGAGUACGGCCGCAAGGUUAAAACUCAAAUGAAUUGACGGGGGCCCGCACAAGCGGUGG